rnacentral:misc_RNA from 3 species
AGAGAACCGCCGGCGCAAGCCGGUUCUACCCCACACACACCUGUGAACCGUUUAUUAGGACGUGGAUUACCCUCGGGGAAACCGUCCGACCUUACAAAACAUCUUAUAACGUCAUGAAUGUAGUCUUAUUUUAACAAAUA